rnacentral:rRNA from 1 species
UACGUAGGGUGCGAGCGUUGUCCGGAAUUAUUGGGCGUAAAGAGCUUGUAGGCGGUUUGUCGCGUCUGCCGUGAAAAUCCGGGGCUCAACCCCGGACUUGCGGUGGGUACGGGCAGACUAGAGUGUGGUAGGGGAGACUGGAAUUCCUGGUGUAGCGGUGAAAUGCGCAGAUAUCAGGAGGAACACCGAUGGCGAAGGCAGUUCUCUGGGCCGUAACUGACGCUGAGGAGCGAAAGCGUGGGGAGCGAACAGG